AGGCAACACUGUUGGUAAUGUAGACACGAAAUGCAGGCCUUCAACACUAGCUCGUGAUGGGUGUACAAAGCAAACUUCUAAUGGGCUGCUGAAAGCUUCCUGGGUUUUCGUUCUAUUGAAAAAACACACACAUGAACACAAAGAAGACAGCGAUAGUCCAGAGAGAUCAAGUCAAUGAUUGGUGUUUGUGAAAAAAAUGAUUAGAGCCCCCUGACGUUUUCCUCUUUUGUCGCUGCAGCUCCCAGCGGGACAUUGAGAAUGCACCAUGCCUGAAUGGUCCAGUGCUUAAUAGCUGCUCAGAAAUCCCAUCACACUGCGCUCUUAGAGAAGAAUCAACAUUUCUGCCUUCUAAGCCAGGCUGAGGAAUGGAUUGCUGUUGGUUUUUUAAGCCCUCACCUUCCCUCCUAGAAUCAAUCCUGUGUCUUGCUUGGUUCCAAGGCAGAAGAGUGUAAGGACUAAGCAAUGGGGGUGAAGUGACUUGCCCAGGGUCACAAAGCUAGGGAGUAUCUGAGGUCAAAUUCGAACCCCGGACCUCCUGUUUCUAGGCUCUCUAUUCACUGAGCAAUCUAGCUGUCCCCCGCAAUUGAUUGUUAAUAGCACCCCCUCCCUCCCCAUAUGGGCUAUUUACUAAUGGCUUAGCACCAUAUAUGGUACCUGGAGACAUUAUACACUGGGGCAAGAAUCACCGGAGAGGGGAAGCCCAGGGAGGCUGGCAUUCCAUUGUCUGGCUAUACAGUGGGGGGGCUGUGAGUUUUCUUUACUAUUCACCUGAUGGCCUGGGCCACUGCGGUUCCCCUGAUUUGCUAAGUCAGGAGGUGAGAUGUCCAGCACUCAAAGCCCAGAUAAGAAAGUUGGCCCAUCUCUGUCCUCUAUGGAACAAAUAUUCAUGGCUCCUAGUUGGGGUAAGGGGAGUCCUUGUGCUCUGCCGUGGCUUACUCUUGCUAUGGGAUCUAAUCAUGCAUGCACUGAACUCAGUUUUUAAAGUUAGUGAAGGUGCACAGAUAUGCCAAAUAGCAGGAGGGAUGGCACAGGGCUAAGGGAAGAAGAACACGAAAGAAAUUAUUUUGUUAAUCAUAGUUUGUAGAAGUAGCCAGGGGGUGCAGAACUGGGUCUAGAGCCAGGAUGCCUUGAGAUUAAAUCCAGCUUCCAACAAUUACUAGUCAUAUGACCCUGGGCAAGUCACUUCAUUUCAGUCUGGCUUAGUUUCCUCAAGUGUAAAACAGGGAUAAUAAUAAGCACAUAUCUCACAGGGCUGUCAUAAGGACCCAAUAACAUAACUGUAAAAUGCUUAGCACAGUAUUGGGCACAUAGGAGCUCAAUAAAUGCUCCUUUUCUCCCUUCUUUGGAAUGUAUUUCUCUUAAGAUAAUUCUUAUUUCUAGUUCCUAUAGUGCCCCAAACUCAACUAUGUUGAGAUUUUUGCCCUGUUGACACUGGACACGCUUCAAAAAUAUGAUCCUGGGGCUGGAGGUUGCCUUAAAGUUGGCAGGCUGGUAAGCAUUACUCUCCUGGUCACCCAGAGUGUCUCUACGGCAGCCAGUUCCAUUUGGCAAUGAGUACAGAGACCCGCACCAUGGAGGAAACCUACUCAUCGUCCGUCAAGACUAGAUGCUGAUUACUUACUGUCCAGGGAAAUCUCUUGUCCUUAUAGACAUCGGGGAUGUUAAGAGGUUCCAUGGUGUCUCUGACAUAGCGAGCGUACAUGUAAUUGAUUCUGUUGGUGUCUCCAUCCCUACUAAGAGACAAAAAUCCUUCUUUACCACGAUGAAAUGUUGGAAAGACAUAAUUAAACCACAAUGAAAGCCAGUCAAGAGGCUCACAACCAUGAAAAAGGAUGCUCCAAGGCAAUAAUAAUGGAGAAAUGCAAACUGAAGAGCCCUUGAGUUCUUCUCUCACCAAGCAAAUGGCCCAAGAUGACAAGAGUGGAAACAUUCUUUGUUGGAGGGGCUGUGGAAUGACGAGCACACUGGCAUACUGCAGGGAGCUAUACGUUGGACCAACCAUUCUAGAAAGCCCAGUGACUAAAAUGUUUACAUCCUUGGACUCAGAGAACAUUCUUCAAGGAACAAACCACAAGGAGGCCAGUAAAGAAAGACCUCAUUCUCUUCAACAUCUCUGCUUCUUCUACACUGGUGAGCACCCUCCUGGCUGCUCUCUCUUCUCUGGGUUUUCCUGAAACUGAUCUCUCCUACCUGUCUGAUAGCUUCUAUCUCAUCAUCCAUUGCACCCCCUACCUGUGAAUAUUCCCCAAGGUUCUUUGAGGCCCUCUUCUCCCUCUAAGCUCUGUCUUGGUAACUUCAUUAGCUCAUACAAGUUUAGUUAUCAUCUCUACACAAAUGACUCACGAUUAAAUAUCCAGCCUCCAGGCUCUCUAUUUGACAUUCCAAACUGGGAGUACCCAAGGUAUCUUAAAUUCAGCACAUCUAAGACCCAUUAUCUUUCCCGACAAACUCUCCCCUCUUCUGAGCUCCCUUAUUUCUGUCAAAAGCACCACCAUCCCCCCAAUUCCUCAGGUUCCUAGCUUUGUUAUUACCCGCACACCCCACGUAUCCUACCAGUUGCCAGAUCCUACUGUUUCCCUCUUCCCAGUAUAUCUCACAUCUAAGCCCUUCUCUCCACUCACAUUGCUAAGAUGUUAGUUCGGGCCCCUAAAUCAUUCCAUCAACCUUCCAACUGGUCUCCCUGCCUCUAGUUUAUCCCCACACCAGGUCAACUCCCACACAGCAAUUUUCCUUAAGAGAAGAUCUGACCAUGUGACUCCUCUACUUAUUAAACUCCAGUCGCCUCCUGUUGCCCCCUGGGAUAAAUGAUACUCUCUGGUUUAACUCUUAAAGUCCUUCAUAACUGGAACUCAACCUCAAUGGCCAUUACCCUCUGUCCAGUACUCUGCGACUCGACCACAUCGGCCUUCUUCCUAGUCCUCCUGCAGGAUCCUCUGCCUCCACUUCUAAGCCUUUGCCCCGGCUAUUUCUCAUGCUAUCUCAACCUUGCUUCCGAGAGUCUCUCUCUUCCUGUAAGAGGCGACUGAGGCAAGAAUCCCAAUCCCCAUGACUGCCUGUGUCCACUCUCCCAAAUGACUCUGUGGUGAUUCAUUUUAUAUAUAUUUAUGCUGUCUGUGGCACAUAAUCCUGUUCCAGAUUUUACAAGGGAGGAGACUGAGGCACAGAGAAGUGAACCAAUAGCCCAAGGGUGCUCUGAGGUUGAGAGGCAGAGCUUCUGGGCUCAGAAUGCUGGAGACAAUCCAGCAAUGCCUCCCAUUCCUUUUGCACCCACAAUGUGGACAGAUGGGUGCACUGAUGGGUAGACUGGAAGAAGCACUGACUUUGAAGCCAGAGGACCUGAGCUCAUAGGAUCGCAGAUCUUAGCUUGAGGGCUGUGUUACAGCAGGGCUCUCCAAACGUUUUACACAGGGGGCAGUUCACUGUCCCUCAGACUGUUGGAAGGUGGGACUAUAAAAAAAAAAACUGUAUACGCUGUCUGGGAUAGCGGAGGCUGCAGCACUGGCUGGGAUGGCUGUCACACCUUGCACAGGUCCAUCACUGCCACCUCUAUACUGGGCAGCAGGAUACACAGUGCGGAAUCCCCUCCCCCAGAUCACCGCUCACCAUGCUGACGUCUUCCAUUGUGCAGCCACAUAAUCCUUUGCAUGGCGCCUUGUGCCCCGCAAAGGAUUAUGUCACCGGAAGUAGUACUGUACGCGAGCGACACCACGUUUUGAGGUGCCGCCACAUACAGUACUCAGAUGCAUUCUGUGCUCCUCUCACUGACCACCAAAGAAAGAGGUGCCCCUUCCGGAAGUGUGCUGGGGGCCGGAUAAAUGGCCUCAGGGGGCCACAUGUGGACCAUGGGCCGUAGUUUGGGGACUCCUGCCAUAACUUUAAGCUCUCUUUUUAUAGUUGAGGAGAAUGAGGGAUAGAAGCUGAGGGGGAAUGUGAAGCCAUUCUCAACUUCAGAUAGGAGGCCCCAACUCCUAUUCCACUUAGCUUUCUAUCUCUGAGACUUACUAGAUGUGUGCUUUUGGAACAUUUAGCUUUCCUGUGCCUCAGCUUCUUCAUCUACAAAAUAGGAGGAUUGGACUAGAUGACCUUGAGCUCCCUUCUAGUUCUAGACCUAAGAUUUCAUGACAAGAUAAACUAAGGACCAUCUCUCAGAUCCCUUGCUUAAAUUACCCUGAUUUUCUGAAUUCCAAAAAAAGAAAUCAGUUUAUCUCCUUAAAGACUUGGGAAAGGUCCAUGAGCAGAGCUAGAAGCAUUUUAACAAGCUCUGAAGCUCUUCCCUUCUCCAGUAAAGUAUACUUUGUCCCCCCUUGAUCCUUAACUAUUUUUUCUCUUUGACUUCUGAUUUUUGCCUCUACUUCUGGGGCAGUAUAGUUGCUCAGUGGUUAGAGCAUCAGGCCUAGAGUCAAGAAGACCUGAGUUUGAAUUUGGACUUAGAAACUUAUUAGUUGUGUGAGCCUAGGCAAGUCACUUAAUCCUGUUUGCCUCAGUCUCCUCAUCUAUUAAAUGAGCUGGAGAAGGAAAUGACAAACUAAUAUCUUUGCCAAGAAAACUCCAAAUGGCAUCAGGAAGAGUUGGACAUGACUGAAACAACUCAACAACAACAACAACUGGGGCAUAUUGCUUUGAAAAUAUUUUUAAAAAUUAAUUUCAUUUUCAUUUAAAAAAAAAACAAACCCAAACAACCUUUAACUUGACAAUCUUUUUCAUUGCUUUACCCUCGUGUCCUGGGCCCAUAAUCUCAUGUCAGUAAACUCUUAAGCAUUAGAGCCUUGGGCUAACGUGGAACAGAAUUGGAUAGAGGCCUUCUGUACGAAAGACCCAGGGGCCCCUAACGACAGCCAGAGUUGAGCAAGGAGAGUGACUGGCCUAGAUUCGGGUCCACUUUUGGAAAGUUACUCAGCCUCCUCAGAUAUGCCUGGGAAAGAGAAGGUGCAGCUGUGAUGGUUAAGUCUUGGAAAAGGCUGCCUUUGGAAGCAUGAGAAAGAGGGGAAGGGAAAAUUCAAAAGUAAAUAAAUCUAUUUCCACAUAGUUGGCCAACAACUUGCAAUAUUCAAUCUGCUUCUACCUCUGUUUCCAAACUGUGGCCAAGGAUCAUGUGCGUCUCUGCCCCUCAAUUCUCCCUGGAUCUUUCCAUGGACCCCAUUUGGCCCAAGUAUGCUUGAAUCCAUCAAGAAUUUAUUAUGUGCUUGGUAUGAUGAGAGAGUGAGUGUGAUGAAACACUAGAAAAAUACUUCAGUCAUGAGAGACUGGGAGGUAAUGUGGUAUCAUGGCAAGAAGUCAAGGAACCCAGGUUCUAGUUAUUAUGCAGCCAAAUGAGUGUGGACUGCCAACGAAUCCAUGGUCUUUGAGUCCUAGUUUUUUCAGCUGUAAAAUGGGGGUAAUAUUGACUUGGAUUCUCCCCCGGGGUUGUGGUGAAGAUGCUUGAAGGCAGUGGAUGAGGAACUAGAAGAGAUUAGACUAGAGGAGGGGACGUUUAAAGGGACAAUCAUCUUGAGAAGCCAAGAAAGAAUGGGAUUCAGGGCACAGGUAGUCAGGACUGAUCUUGGCAAGGAGAAGGGCCACCUUGUUGUUGUUGUUGUUGAGUUGUUUCUACUUUUUUAUGACUCCAUUUGAGGUUUUCUUAACAAGAUACUGGAAUGAUUUGCCUCUUCCUUCUCCAAUUCAUUUUAUAGAUGGGGAACUGAAGCAGACGCGGUUAAGUGAGCCCAGGCUCACAUAGCUAGUAAGUGUCUGAGGCCAGAUUUGAACUAGGAAUAACUGGGCACCUUUAAAAGUACUACCCAGGGGCCUUUACUUCUUAAAAUUACUUCAUAAUUAAUUACUUCUCUAGAUGUUAUCUUUUGCUUCCCCUAGAAGAAUAUAAGUCCUUCAGGGCUAAGAUUUUUAUAGUUUUCAAAUCUUUCUGUCGCUAGUGUUUUGUACACAGUAGGCACGUAAUAAAUGUUUGUGGCUUUGAACUGAUUUUUUCUAAGAUGACUCUUUGUCAGUAGAGGGCACUGUCCCCCAGAGUCUUGUGGCCUUUCAUUGGCCACUUUAAGACCUAGAGCCCAGCCCCAUUUGCCACUGCCAGUUCAAGGUCCUAACACACAAAAACAUGUCUGUCUGACAUUGAAAGCACAGGUUCAAGCAUUCCAUAUUUCCAAAGAGUCACAUGUAUGAUUUGGUUCUCACAUGAAUUCUAUUGGGUAGAUACUACUGUGGCCCAGUGUUAAGGUCAGCCUAUCCACUACUACUACCACCAUUUACUAAGAACCUGCUAUGCUCAAGAUCUGAACUAGGUACUGGAGAAUGCAAAUUUAGAUUUGACCGCAGAUCAGGUAGUAUCAGGGACCAUUCAGAGAUCUGAUGUAAAAUGGUCACAAUGACCAGGAACAGCUCUGGGAACAUGGGGUCCACAGCACAGAUGGAGGAAGCUCUAAUACUGUCACCAUUUCCCAUCAAAGGUCUUGGUUGUUUGCAUGAAGGCCACUAAGAGGUCAUCUAUUUCUUGCAGGCAACCUUUCUUUAAGCUUGAGCUGAUAUUGAGUCUCAGCCAAUAUGGCCAUAUGUUCCAUGACUCCUAGUACACACAUCAAAAUAUGCCUUUCCUGGAAGUCCAUGAUAACAAAUUUGGUUUCCUUUAGAGCAGUGGUUCUCCACCUUUCUAAUGCCGUGACCCCGCAAUACAGUUCCCCAUGUUGCAGUGACCCCAAACGGUGGCUACUUCCAAACUGUCAUUUUGCUAGUUAUGAUUCGGAAUGUAAAUACCUGAUAUGCCUUACGUCUUCUGAUUGCUACAAAUUGAGAGGUGGAGAACCGCUGCUUUAGAGAGUGAGGGGGCAGCCUCUUCUGCAAGGGAUGGAGGAGUGAAGAGAACUCUAGCUGUAGAGUCAAAAAGACUCAUUUUUUUAGUUCAAACCUGGCCUCAUGUAAGCCUGGAUAAGUCACUUAACCUUGUUUGUCUCAGUUUCCUCAUCUGUAAAAUGAACUAGAUAAGGAAAGGGCAAACCACUCUAGUAUCUUUGCCAAGCAAACCCCCCAAAAGUGGUCACAAAGAGUCACGUAUGGCUGAAGAGUACUGGAAAACAACAAAGAAAAUGACAUUAAGCAUUGGCUUCAGGAUAUUAGUCAAUCUCUUAUCCUCAGCCUUGGGCUUCUCCUUGAUAGCCGUAUGCAGGGAGAAGACCAAGGCUUCAAUGUCGGUAUCACUUUUAUUCAUUGGUGCAGGUUGACCUUCAGAUUCAAGUUCAAAGCCUUCCAUUUCUAUGCUUUCUUGGCCUUCGUUAAGAACUUUGCAUUUUUAGGAAUCCAAAUGACACUGUGAAAUCAAACUGGAAGCAUAUGAGGCCAGAUCGGAACUGAAGACCUGAUUCUGGCCCCAACCCUCUAUCCUCUGAACUGUGUCUAUGCAGAGAAUUCCCACAUUAUGUAGCCAAUCUCAAUCUUUCUCCCAACCCAAGAGAGAAAACAUCUAUCAGAUGAAAUGUCUCUUUCAAUAUGCUUUCCUGGGAACCCUAUAACUUGAUGUAAUUCAACUACAUUGCAUGAUUAACACAAUUUUUUGACCUGACUCCCUCUCCCUCUUUCAUUUGAGAGCCACUCUCAGUUCUAGUCGAGAAGGACAAUGUAUGGAUUUAGUGACAGGCAGAAGCCCAGUCUUAAAUUAGCUUCUGAAUGAUGCCACAUGAAUUGUUCUCCACCUUGGUUGGCAAUUUAGUUUAAUCGGGAAAAAAACAGUAUAUUUCACAUGGGCAUCAAAUAUCCUCACAUUCUCACUAUACUUGGAGCUACCAAACACAUGGAGAGCACACGACUGAGGCAGGAGUGGGGAAUGAAAUCAAAGAUUUUAUGAUAAUAAGGUAGUUGAAGUAUUAUAGCACUUUAGGGUGGCUUGGCCUAUGACCGUGUUGGUGAACCUAUGGCACGUGCCAGAGGGGGCUGCUCCCCUCCCCCUCUCCACAGGAGCGUAAGGACAUUUCUCACUUCAUUCUGCCCAGCAGCACAGUGGGAGCACUUCCUUCCUCUCCUUGUCUGGGGUAAGGUAGGAGGCUCAUAUACAUUAUGAGGGUUGCAGUUUGGGUACUUGGUCUCUAAAAGUUUCACCAUCACUGGUCUAUGAGGAGUGAAUUCAUAAUAAUUUGCUUUUUGUAAUCCUAGAACUUUGGUGAUCACUCUUUUUGAUCCUCAGCCAACAGAAUAUUUUUGUGUGUUUAUAGAUUUCUUUUUGAGCAAUACAAGCUAAAGAUGCUUUGUAAUUAAAUACACAAGCACCUAACUGGAGCAAUGCAAGCCUAUUCUUAGAGGGGUCCCUGGUGUCCUAAUCUUUUGGUAAUAAGGAUAUGAUGCCUUUUGUCAAGAAGGACAAGCUCAGGCUUGCAUCAGAGAGGAAGGUGGGAAAGCUAGUUAUUCAAUGACCUAGAUGAAGCCAGAACCAAUAAUUAUGGAUUUUCUCCACAUUUCUUCAAAGAAGAGUUUCAGUCAUCCCUCUCUCUACCAUCUUCUGAUUUUGUUGUAAUAAUUCUUCUUUUAUUUUUUGCCACUCCAGGAUCUUUGCCAAGAAAACCCCAAAUGGAAUCAGGAAGAGUUAUAUAUGACUGAGAACAACUGAACAGAACAGUUACAAUUACAAUUUCUAGUAACAAUGACUUAGUCUUGAUUUCCUAUCAUAAGCCCCUUAAUUUCCACAAAGAAAUCCAUAGCACUCAGCUAUUUAACCCAGUCUUCUUUUGCUAUUGUUAUCUGAUAUUAACAUGUUCAAUAUUUCACAUGCAUUAUCUCAUUUGAACCAAAUACUAACUCUAUGAGAGAGGAUCGAUACUAUUACUAUUUUCAUUUUAUAGACGAGGAAACAGAAGCUUAAGUAAGGGGAGUGACUUGCCCAGGGUCAAAUCACUCAUAAGUGUCUGGAGUAGAAUUUGAACUUGGGUCUUCCUGCUUCCAUGUUCAUCAGGUAUUCCACUACCCCAUGUGAUGUCUCUGCCCUUUCGCUCCCCAGCCUUACACCAGUGAUUGGAAAGAUUCCACUGUGGGUUGAAAAGCUAAGAGCAGUACUCCAUGGAGAGACACUGAAAUUGCUCUCCAAAUGAAGGGAUGUGCCCUUUAACCAGGAUUUUUGCAUCCGUCAAAAGGAAUUCAGAAAAAUAUAUUUUACCUUGUUAGAGCAUCUGCUGGUUUUUCCAAAUCCUCAAACUCCAUGUGAAACACCCUAGAAAACGAAUCCUGAAAACACAACAAGGGCAACAUGGAUGGUGCAGAAUAUUCUCUACUCUGAUGAAAAUCAAACAGGUAAAACAAAUGAGUCACUUCUGCCUCCGAAUGGGUCAAAGGCAAUUAUUUCACUUUCUUUUCCUUUCCCUUCCAAGUAACUGGACUGGGUAGUCACCUCUCUGGCACACCAGACACAACAUUAGUGCAAGAAAAUUUGGGAAUAUUUUAAAUAGAUGUUGCCAUCCCUGGUUUAGCUGCCAUUGCUGAAGGCUGGAAUUCUUAUGGAUCACACUGACCAGCCAGGCAUGGCGGAGAUCCCUCCAAUUUCUACCAUCCUCAAUCCCUUCCUCUUUAGAAUUCUAAUUUCAGCAUUCAUCAGUCUUCUUUCUCCUCCUUUACUGUGGCAAUGGAAGGUUUGUUGUUGUCUCUGAGGUGGUCCAACAUAUGCCCAUUUGGGACAAUCUUCUCCUAUAAUCUUAUUUCCAACAUUUCAUCAUUUCAGAAAUGGGAAAUUGCUCCAACUAUAAUUUUGUGGCUGAAUGUGGUACUUGGCCUCACUCUUCAAAACCAAGCAAAAUGAAGUGAGACACAAAAAUAUAUGAUGGAGGGGAAAUUCUUGUUUUUUAACCUUUACCUUGAUUAAUUUAAACCUUAAGACAGGAUCUUAAUAUCAAUUUUAAGGCAGAAGAGUAGUAAGGCAUUUGAGGUUAAAUGACUUGCUCAAGAUUACACAGCUAAAAAGUAUCUGAUGCCAAAUUUGAACCCAGGUCCUCCCAACUUCAGGUCUGGUGCUCUAUCCAUUGUACUACAUAGUUGCCCCAGAGGGAAUGUUCUAACAAUAUCUCCCCAAAAGACCUUAGAAAAGAGCAUGCUACUGUGAUAGGGAUCCAUGAGUCAAGAAAUCAUUAAGGUGGAUCAAUAUGAUAUUGAGAUAUUCUAAAAAUGAAAGCCCCAAACAUAGUAAGCAUGGAUGCUAAGGGGAGUACAACCCAUUAAAAAGAGUUGGACCAGGCCAAUAGUGGGUUCUGACGGGUGCUUUGGAAGUUUCCAACAUCAAGAUCAUCCCUCAUUCAAACACACAGAAAGUUUCAAAACUGAUAGCAAGAGUGGUAUGGCCAAGAUUUCUCAUAUAAUCCAAUUGGACAAACGUGGGGUUCAUUUUGCCAAUGCCAUUCUUUAAUCUCCAGCACUUUCCCAUUGCUUCCAGUGCAGGAGAAAACGAGAUAGAGACUAGGUCUAUCUCUGAUACCCAAAUGACCUGAUUUCAUUGGUACUGAGGAACUUCCAGGUGAGGAAAUUCCUUGUUGACCUCUAGGCAACUUUAUGGUCACAGAGAACUGUCUGGAUCCCUGAAAGACCCGGAGACUUUUCCAUAGUCAAUGGUUAGUCUGUGUCAAGACCAGGCUGGAAGCAAGCUGUCUAUCCACUAGGCAACACUGCCUCUCACAAUAUAAACAGAAGUCUGUGACAAUGAUUCCAAGGCAUGGUAAUACCUUCUCUUUCUUAUUCUAGAAUUUUUUUUUCAUUUUCCCCCUUCAUUAAAUUUUAUGGUGAUAGCUUCUAAAUCAUCAAAGAAAAUGUGAAAUUUACACUAAAUUGUUUAAUAAUAACUUUAUUGUAUUCUAAUCAUAGAAAAAAUCCCCAUACAAAUAGUCCUCAAGUUGUAAGAGUGCCCAGCUGACAAAUGGCAGGUAAAAGUAAUUAGAAAUGGCCAUUCCCUAUUCCCUCCCCUCUCCACUAUGGAAAAUACCUAGAGAGGUGUUAAGACAAUCUUGGAGUUCAGAAAUAGGACAAGGGAACAAGAUGGGAACGCUUGGAAUAAUGUGGAGGAACAGCCCCUGAAAGCGGAUCCCCAAGUAGGAUCCUAGGAUUGUAGAUUUAGAGCUGGAAGAGAACUGAGAAGUCAUUGAGUCCAAUUUCUUCAUUUUACAGAUUAGGAAAGAGGGAGGGGAAAUGACUUGUCUGGGGUCACCCAGCUAGUAAGUAUUUGAGGCUGGACUUGAAUCCAGGUCUUUCUGAUUCCAGGUCACUAUUCCAUCCUUAUUGUCUAAUAUGGGCCAUUCAGUAUGUGUGCUUCUAUGUCAUGGACAUAGAAUACUUGCCCUCUAAAAGCCUCAAGCUUUUCCUAAGUCUGUAAUAGAACUCAAGAGGCCACGACUUUGGGUGACAUCGACAUUCACCCGCAUUCUCCCUCAAAAACCGGACACCUCAGGGAGACAGGGAAGGAGCUACAGGGGGCAUCUUAGACGUGAGUGUGAUUCAGCUGCCACCAAUCAGAAGAAGGGAAUGAGAGUUUUGGUACUGGGGGAUCAUUCUGGAGCAUGGAGCCACUCCUGCGAUACAGCUAUUACCUAUAUUCAAACAUAAAUUGCUACAUCAUUUUAGCAACAUCAAAAGGUGAGAGUGAAUCCUAUGAUCUCAUUUUUCCUUCUUGGUGUAUUUUCCUGGUGUCAGACCAGCUCGUAAGUGGUCCACUGGAAAGGGCACUAGACUGAGAGGUAGAAAAUCGGUCAUUAGUUGACACUGAAAUUUUAAGUUAUUCCCUUUCUCCUUGGGUCAGACUAGAGAGUACUUAAGAUCUCGUCCAAAUAGAGCAUUUUGCCACAAGUAGUUAGUGAGGAUCUGUAUCAGGUGCUUAUGGGGACAGGAGGGCAGUGAUAGUCCAGGGCGAGGCCAGAGAAAGGACUAAAGGAGGGAGCAGAGCCCAUCUGGACAUUUUGCUUUGCAUUCAAGAGAGGGGCAGGAAACUCUUCUUCUUUCUCUUCCUUCUUGACCGCCCAUCACUAGCUGAAUCAACUUUUAGGGACUGGUCUGAUAAUCUGAUCACUAUGUUCAUCAUUGUUCCUACCGGAGAACUAUUUAGUAGUCUGAAGAACUGAUUUACAAAUGAACGAAGAGAUCUGCUCAGGCACCCAGCAUGCCCAUGAUUUGGGAGGGUCUCCUCUCUCUGAUCUCCCUCUCUCUGUCUCUCUGUCUCUCUUUCUCUGUCUCUCUUUCUUUCUCUCUCUCUCUCUCUCUCUCUCUCUCUCUCUCUCUCUCUCUCUCUCUCUCUCUCUCUGUCUCUCUGUCUCUCUCUCUGUCUCUGUCUCUGUCUCUGUCUCUGUCUC